rnacentral:rRNA from 1 species
UACGUAGGUGACCAGCGUUGUCCGGAUUUACUGGGCGUAAAGAGCGCGCAGGCGGUCGUUCAAGUCGAGUGUGAAAGCCCCCGGCUCAACUGGGGAGGGUCAUUCGAUACUGAUCGACUUGAAGGCAGGAGAGGGAAGUGGAAUUCCCGGUGUAGUGGUGAAAUGCGUAGAUAUCGGGAGGAACACCAGUGGCGAAGGCGACUUCCUGGCCUGUUCUUGACGCUGAGGCGCGAAAAGCUAGGGGAGCAAACGGGG